rnacentral:lncRNA from 1 species
AAUAAUAUUUCUUUAGUAUAGUGGUAUAAGCCUGAGUUAUUGCAUGUCAAUCUGGGUUGGAAACUACAGUAAUGCAUAUUUCAUUUUAUUUUAUUUUAAAACCAGUGGCGAUUAUUUUGUUUCGCCUCUAGUCUUAUAAAAUCUAGGACCUGCUCUGUUUAUAGAGUUUGAAGUCAGAUUCAGUUUCAUAUUACAAUCAGGUGAAACCAACUUCUUCUGUUUGUAAAUACGUGAAGCUGCGUCAUACCGUAUUAAAGGUUCCAUGUGGACGCCGCUCAACUGGGACAAGAGUUUCUACAUCAGCAAGAGUGACUCCGAGACCGCCUUUUGACCUUUCGGUAUAUUUCUGCUUUGGUGUAGUUCUCUAAUAAAACAAUUUAAGACUAUACUUGUUAAUGAAAGCUCAAGUGUACGUCGCUAUCAGAGAAAUAUAGAUUAAUUUAGUUUCUUUGAAAAAUUCAUGAUUACAACUAGGAAUGUUCGAUUCGCAUAAACAAUAUACCAAUCUGGAAAACUGAUCAUGAUAUGUAUAAUGUUAAUAAACUUUUUCGCUAUCUUGUCCCACUAUCAGAGAAAUAUAGAUUAAUUUAGUUUCUUUGAAAAAUACAUGAUUACAACUAGGAAUGUUCGAUGCGCUUCUUUAAGAAACUUAGCAAGAGGCCUCUAUCUGAUACCAUGCAUCGAAGACUCUCCUACGCUGAGAAAGAAAAGGGUCCAGCUGAACCCUCACCUCCUCCACGAUCUGCCAGAGUUAAAGUACCGGCUUUUGAUAGCUCUGAACUUAUCAGGAAACAUUCUCUCACUCUUGUGAGAAGACUGACAAAUCUCAAGUACCAAAGGAUGUGGUCUCUCAUUCCUUUCCUUUCUGAUCAUUUGCAGUGUGAAUCGCGCCCUAUAGGUACAGAUCUUGGCCAAGGCCGCUUCCAGUUCCAAUUCGCAUCAGAAAGAGAUCUUGUAAAGGUCCUGGAAAACCAACCGUACCACUUUGCGCGCUGGAUGAUAAUGCUGCAAAGAUGGGAACCCUCCGUCUCUCCUAGCUUUCCGAACCAGCUCCCUUUCUGGAUCCAGGUCUAAGGUUUACCCCUCCACCUCUGGUCUACAGAAAUCCUAGACUGUAUUGCUUGCGACAUUAGAACCCUGGAUCACUCUGAGAUAAGCAACACAGUCGCAAGAACCAGGGUUUUUAUCAACGGCGUUCAACCCCUCAUCCGCAAAACCACCUUGGAGUUUGAUGAUGGUCGUGAACUAGAAGUCGAACUAGUAUAUGAAAAAUUACAGAAUCACUGCACUAUAUGUUCCAGCUUGUGUCAUGGCAAAGAAGCAUGCCGAGAGAACCAAAAACCUCACCCUGAAGCUCCAGAAAACUAUAGGAGGAAACCAUCUGGUGAGAGAGUUCACUCCACUCAACGUAACGUGGCCACUGACUCCUUAACCUCUAGGAGAACAUACCAACAAAACUCUUACAGAUCUCCCCCAUAUCACCAGAGAGAUACUGUUGGAGGAAACUCCACCUAUGCACCUGAGAAGCAAAUCAGAAGGUUUGAAAGGGCGUCAGAGACCCACAAUUAUAAAAUUCCUCCCUCAACGGAGAGAACCAUUACAGCAAGAGAGCCAUACCGCGGAGCUAUACACCGUGACUCAAGAAGGAGAGAUGAUAGCUUUAACUCUUACCGUUCUCGAGAGUACAGACGAUAUGAGCAACAUAAAAACAGCGUGAGCCACAGAAACUCUCAACCUUCUAGGUAACUAUGGGUCGAAAAGAAGAACCAAAGAGAUCGUCAAGCAACUUAUCUAGAGAAAUCUGAAUCCUCACGGCCUACUGUUCAACCUAUCCAAAACGUUCAAGCUCCCUUCCCUCCUACUGAUAUUCCACCAGGGGCAAUCAACAUAGCUAGGGAGGAAAUAAGAGAUUACAUGCAGCAAUAUUCCAACUGCCAGGACCCUACUGAGAGUGAAGCACGCAAAGAAAGGCUGAGACAUGCAGAAGAGCAGGGAGAUAUCGAGGAAGCAGCUACCCGUUUGGCUCAAAGCAACCUAGUAACCAAUCACCUCGAACCGGAGCAGGUACCUAAUGAGGAGACUCCUGAAAGAAUUCCUGCAUCACACAGAUUGGGACCUGUUAACGAAGCACAUUCUGCUUUCGAUAGACUGGGACCUCUAGUGUCCCCUCUGGAAAGGGUGGAAUUACCUCGAUCAGUGCAAACCCCACUUAAAAGGAAACCUGGCAGACCUUCUCUAAGACGUGCAACCCCACUAUCUCUGGCAAUGAUAAGUGCAUGCAUUCGUAAGAGACGUGUUUCGAAAGCAACAAAAUCAUCUAAGACAAUCCCUUGUAAUGAGGAGAACACAACAAAAACUAUCCCUCGUAGAGAGGAGAACAGCUCCAGAACCAUGCCAAAAAAGUCGAGUCUAGGCAAAACAAGUAUCUCAAACAGAACCAUGCGAGGUGGAACUUCUGCUUCAGGACCUUCUCGCAGAGCUACAGGGUUGGAUUUUCAAAUCCUCCCUCUCCUCUUCCUUAAAAAUUGUGGCAUGGAACUGCCAAGGGUUGGGGAACCCUUGGACAGUUCAAAGACUCCGAGAAAUCUGCAAGGAGUAUGAUCCAGAUGUGAUUUUCC